CCAGUGAUAAACUGGAGGAAGGUGGGGAUGACGUCAAGUCAUCAUGGCCCUUACGACCAGGGCUACACACGUGCUACAAUGGCGCAUACAAAGAGAAGCGACCUCGCGAGAGCAAGCGGACCUCAUAAAGUGCGUCGUAGUCCGGAUUGGAGUCUGCAACUCGACUCCAUGAAGUCGGAAUCGCUAGUAAUCGUGGAUCAGAAUGCCACGGUGAAUACGUUCCCGGGCCUUGUACACACCGCCCGUCACACCAUGGGAGUGGGUUGCAAAAGAAGUAGGUAGCUUAACCUUCGGGAGGGCGCUUACCACUUUGUGAUUCAUGACUGGGGUGAAGUCGUAACAAGGUAACCGUAGGGGAACCUGCGGUUGGAUCACCUCCUUACCUGAAAGAA
rnacentral:rRNA from 1 species